UACGUAGGUGGCAAGCGUUGUCCGGAAUUAUUGGGCGUAAAGCGCGCGCAGGCGGUCCUUUAAGUCUGAUGUGAAAGCCCACGGCUCAACCGUGGAGGGUCAUUGGAAACUGGGGACUUGAGUGCAGGAGAGAAGAGUGGAAUUCCACGUGUAGCGGUGAAAUGCGUAGAGAUGUGGAGGAACACCAGUGGCGAAGGCGGCUCACUGGCUCGUAACUGACGCUCAUGCACGGACAGCGUGGGAUCA
rnacentral:rRNA from 1 species